GACUUUAGGGCCCCUGAAGGUGCGCCGUUAAAAAGCAAGAUGAUAUAUGCUAGCUCAAAAGAUGCCAUUAAGAAGAAGUUUACAGGUAUCAAACACGAAUGGCAGGUUAACGGUUUAGACGACAUUCAGGACCGCUCCACCCUGGCGGAGAAGUUGGGAGGAAGUGUGGUCGUAUCGCUGGAGGGGAGACCGUUGUAAACGCAUCCGCCAUGUGCCAUCUGGAUUCCACACGCUUUCAUCUUCGCAGCUGUCUCUAUCAUUUGAUCCUGAAGGAAUAGUCCUAGUUUGUCUUUAUUCCCUUUUCUUUUCUUUUUUUCACAUUAAGGAGAUCUCAUUAACAUAUGCAAAAAAAAAAAAACUCUACCAGCUGAAUGCCAGCUUAAUUUUGCAGUUCAUAUUAGUUUUUGUAUGUCCCCAAAGAGCGUUCUGUCUCCCUCUGCGUGUUUUGCCAAACGACAGUAGAAAGCUCGGAUGUUCACAUAAAUUAAACUCAGUUGAUAUCUUCAUCAUGUAUCUUCAGAGAUAUUCUAUUAUGCUGUCAGAGAACUAUAUGAGAAUGCUGUACGUUAAUGCCUCACAGCAAUGACGAGCACUUUACAAGCCUGAAGCUAUUUAUCUACCUAAUCUGGUCAAGUUUAUGCAGAUAAACAAAGCACUUUUUGUUUUACACUACCAGUUGAAGGAGGACUUUCCGUCUGGAAUUUCUGUCUGUCAACCCGGAGUUGAAGUUACCGCAGUUUUCGUUCCUGUUACGCAAAUGGACAUAAACAGAUGGGGUUUGAACUGUUGAUUCAAAUGCACCACAGAACACGAAGGCUGAGAUGCUUGGAAUGUUUUUUUUUUUAACACUACAUGAAAAUACAAAACUAUCUGUAAUGUAUGAUGCAGCCUGAAGUGAAACAUUGUUUUUGAGAUCGGGGAAGGUGCCACUUUGAAAUAAAAUAUUGUGGCGGAAUUCUUGGAUGGAUUUCUUGGCUCAAUUAAA